GUGUGGGGACAGUGGCCAGGUGAGUGGCUCAGAGGUCACUGUGGCCAGACAGCGGGGAUCAGGAGGGGAUUUGCUGAGGACUUUUGGUCAUUGACAGGAAUCGGGUGACUCUUGAGGGAAGCCCUCAACAAGGAUGAAGAGAAGCCAGUGAACAACCAAUGGCCCCAGAGCCAGGAGCCGGGGCAGCGGGCGGGGCUGGAUCUCAGGCAGCCUUCCGGUGCACCUGGGGAGGCGAUCUUCUCUCAAAUGCCCUGGACUUGACACUUGCCAUCGGUGGAGGAGGGAAGACAGCAGCACCACAGCGUCCCAGCUGGGGUCCCCAGCAGUCAGGCGAAUGGGACCCAAGUGUUCUGCAUUCAUGCUUAUUCCCCUGGACAGACAUAGCGCCGGCUCCCCAUCUGCCUUCCCUAGUCAUUGCGCUGCUUCCUGUUUCCCUGAGAAAACUGAAGCAAUCCAACAACAUCUAUGAUGCCCUUGGCCACAUCUCCCGGUGCCUGGACCAGCCUGCAGAGAGCUGUCUGCGUGCCCGGCCCGCGCUGUCCCCUACCAGGACAUCUCCUCAACAUCGCAGUGUCUCCCUUCUCCCCGGAUCAUUCCCAGUGGCGUGCAAACGUGCUUUAUUUUUCUCAUCUUCAAAACAACAGCAGAUCAAAACAAAGAUCCCCUCUUGGCCACACACUCUCAGGCAGAGGUUCCUCGUGGUUACUUAGUUGUUGAUGGUGACAUUUGGGGAUGGUUGAUCAUUUUGCCUGGAAUCCCUUCAGCCUUCUGAUGAGGCCCGAGCAUCUCUUAGCCUAUUGCUUUUGAAUGUAUAAAAUAAUACAUGGGAUGCUAAAGGAAGAGGACGCUGUGGAAAUGCAGUUAUUUAGAGAUCUUAAACAAUUUGUCCCUAGUGAUUUAUGCGCUUCUCUGUUGAUGCAUUAUCAACAGAGGUUGAAACAGCGGCAAUGCAAGUGACCUUCCCAGGUCUCUGCAACACCUGGAAGUUGAUGAGAAAUGUGGGUGGUUUCUGUUGCUGACAGAGUCCCAGGCACUGUCACAUUGCCGUAGGUGCCUGCUCCAUGCAUAGUGAAGGAAAUGCUGUCAGUCAGAUGUCAGUGGAGUAAAACUGUGACUUUUUUCCUAUCCCAGUUCACAGCUUGAAUUUUUCAGGCUCUGGACCCUGUCUUACAACCAUCGCCUCAUUCCCUCAUUCCCCUUGGUGGUCCACGUCCUCUGAAGGCACCCUCUGGGCUCAUUCUCUCCUGUCCCUCCUCUACAUGACCCACUCCAAUCACCCACUAAAACUGUACUUCUCAAGGUCUCCAGCUUCCUUUGAGUUACUAACCCUAUAGAGUGACCUGAUUACGGCCAGACGCAGGGUAGGGCUCUCUCCAGUGUGGACCAUCCUCACUCAGCUCCCUCCCUCUGGGUUGACUCCUCCCGCUUACUCACUCCUUCCCCGUGGCAGGCUCCUGCCCCUCCCCCCAUCUGUGAUGUUAAACCAUUGGGGAAUCAGUCCCCGGCCCCUGCUCACCUCAUCUACUCGCACUCCCUAGGGACUUCCAGCCUCAAAGCUUUCAAUCCCAUCUCCAUGCUGAUAAGUUCCAGUGGACUUCCAGUUCUGUCCCUGAACUCUGCAUUUAUGUAUCUGACCCUUGUUAUCCCACUGGAUGGUGAUGGACGUCUCAAAACUGUCCACAAGCAGAGCGCCUCUUUUCUUUUUUCUUUUUUUAAUUUGUAGAUAUACAUGACCGUAGAGUGUAUUUUGACAUAUUAUACAUACAAGGAGUAUAAUUUAUUCUAAUUAGGAUCCCAUUCUUGUGAUCGUAUGUGAUGUGGAAUUUCACUGAUCAUACAAAAACAUAGGAUAGUGUAGGCGGGGCUGGGGUUGUGGUUCAGUGGCAAAGCACUUGCCUCACACAUUUGAGGCACUGAGUUCGAUCCUCAGCACCACAUAAAAAAUAAAUAAAAUAAAGAUAUUGUGUCCAUGUAUAACUAAAAACAUUUUCUUAAAAAAAGAACAUAGGAUAGUAAUGUCCAAUUCAUUCUACUUUCUUUCCUAUUCUCAUCCCCUUCCCUUCCCUUCACUCCCCUUUGUCUAAUCCACUGAACUUCUAUUCUUCCUCCUGCCUUUUUGUGUGUUAGCAUCCACAUAGCAAAGAGGACAUUUGGUCUUUGGUUUUUUUGGAGUUAUAAAGUCGUUCUUUUUAUGGCUGAGUAAUAUUUCAUUGUGUGUGUGUGUGUGUGUAUAUUCCAUAGCUUAGCUAUUGUGAAUUAAGCUGCUAUAAAUAUGUGGCUGCGUCACUGUCACUGUAGUAUGCUGUUUUUAAGUCCUUUGGACAGAAGAGAGUAAUAGCUGGGUCAAAUGGUGGUUCCAUUCCAAGUUUUCUGAGGAGUCUCCAUACUGCUUUCCAUAGUGGUUGCACCAGUUUGCAGUCCUACCAGCAGUGUAUGUAUGUGCCUUUUUCCCCACAUCCUCACCAACAUUUAUCAUUACUUGUAUUCUUUAUUUAUUUUAAAUUUUUAUUUGCUGUAAUUAGUUAUACAUGACAGUAGAAUGCAUUUAUGCACUUUGAUAUAUCAUACAUAGAUGGGAUAUGAUUUCUCAUUUUUCUGAGUGUACAUGUUGCAGCAUCAUAUUGGUCAUGCAGUCACAUAUAGACACACAGUAAUGAUGUCUGUUUCAUUCUACUAUCUUUCCUAUCCCCAAAUCCCCUCCCCUCCCCUCCCAUCACUUCCCUCUACCUAAUCUAAGGUAAAGCUAUUCUUACCUAGUGCCUCCCCCGCCUUAUUGUGAAUUAGUAUCCGAAUAUUAAAGAAAACAUUCAGCCUUUGGUUUUAUGGGAUUGGCUUAUUUCGCUUAGCAUGAUAUUCUCCAACCACUUACUGGCAAACGCCAUAAUUUUACUCUUCUUUAAAGCUGAGUGAUAUUCCAUUGAGUAUAUAUACCGAAUUUUCUUUGUCCACUCAUCCACUGAAGGACACCUAGGUUGGUUCCAUAAUCUAGCUAUUGUGAAUUGAGCUGCUAUAAACAUUGAUUUUUUGGCUGUGUCACUGUAGUAUGCUAAUUUUAAGUCCUUUGGGUGUAAACCAAGGAGUGGGAUAGCUGGGUCAAAUGGUGGUUCCAUUCCCAAUUUUCUGAGGAACCUCCAUACUGCUUUCCAUAGUGGUUGCACCAAUCGCAGUCCCACCAGCAGUGUAUGAGUGUGCCUUUUUUGCCACAUCCUCACCAACACUUAUUGUUGCCAGUAUUCUUGAUGAUUGCCAUUCUGACAGGAGUGAGAUGAAAUCUUAGAGUAGUUUUGAUUAGCAUUUCUCUAAUUGCUAGAGAUGUUGAACACUUUUUCAUAUAUUUGUUGAUCAUAUAUUGCUUCUUCUGUGAAGUAUGUUACUUGUAUUCUUGAUAAUUGCCAUUCUGGCCAGAAUGAGAUAGAAUCUCAUUAAUUUAAUUUGUGUUUCUCUAAUUGCUAGAGAUGUUGAGCAUUUUUUUUUUUAUAUUUGUUGACCAUUCGUAUUUUUUCUCAGGUGAAGUGCUUGUUUAGUUCCUUUGCCCAUUUAUUGAUUGGGUUGUUCCUUUGUUUGUUUGUUUUUGGUGAUAAGUCUUUUGAGUUCUUUGUACAUCCUGGAGAUUAAUGAUCUAUCUGAGACGCAGGUGGCAGAGAUUUUCUCCCAUUCCGCAGGCUCUCUUCACAUUCUUGAUUGCUUCCUUUGCAGUAAGGAAGCUUUUUAGUUUAAUACCAUCCCGUUAUUGAUUCUUGAUUUCCUUCUUGCACUUUAGGAGUCUUGUGGAGAAAGUCGGUUCCUAAGCUGACAUGAUGGAAAAUUGGUCCUACGUUUUCUUCUAGUAGGUGUAGGGUCUCUGGUCUAAUUCCUAGGUCCUUGAUCCACUUUGAGUUGAGUUUGGGGCAGGGUGAGAGAUAGGGGUUCAAUUUCAUUCUGCUACAUAUGGAUUUCCAAUUUUCCCAGCACCAUUUGUUGAAGAGGAUAUUUUUUCUCUAAUGUAGGUUUAUGGUGCCUCUGUCUAGUAUGAGAUCACCGUAUUUAUGUGGGUUUGUCUCUGUGUCUUCUAUUCUAUUCCAUUGGUCUUCAUCCCUAUUUUGAUGCCAAUACCAUGCUGGUUUUGUAACUACAGCUCUGUAGUAUAACUUAAGGUCUGGGACUGUCAUGCCUCCUCUCUUUUCUUACUGAGGAUUGCUUUGACCAUUCUGGGCCUCUUAUUUUUCCAAAUGAAUUUCAUGACUGCUUUUUCUAUUUAUAUGAAGAAUGUCAUUGGAAUUUUAAUAGGAAUUGCAUUAAAUCUGUAUAAUGUUUUUGGUAUUAUGGCCAUAUUGACGAUACUAAUCCAGCCUAUCCAAGAACAUGGGAGAUCUUUCCAUCUUCUAAGGUUUUCUUCAAUUUCUUUCUUUAGUGUUCUGAGGUUUUCAUUGUAGAGGUCUUUUACCUCUUUUGUUAGAUUGAUUCCCGAGUACCUUAUUUUAUUCUUUGAGGCUAUUUUGAAUUGGAUAGUUUUCCUAAUUUCUUUUUCAGCUGAUUCAUCAUUGGUAUAUAGAAAUGUAAUUGAUUUAUGGGUGUUAAUUUUAUGUCCUACUACUUUGCUGAAUUCAAUUAUGAGUUCUAGAAGUUUUCUGGUAGAGUUUUUUGGGUCUUCUAAAUAUAGAAUCAUGUCAUCAGCAAACAGGGAUAGUUCGAGCUCUUCUUUUUUUUUUUUUUUUGUAUCCCUUUAAUUUCUUUCUUUUGCCUAAUUGCUUUGGCUAGAGUUUCAAGGUCUAUGUUGAAAAGAAGUGAUAAAAGAGGACAUACUUGUCUCGUUCCAGGUUUGGAAGGAAUGUUUUCAAUUUUUCUCCAUUUAGAACGAUGUUUGUCUUGGGUUUAAUGUAUAUAGCUUUUACAAUGUUGAGGUAUGUCCCUACUAUCCCUAGUUUUUCUAGUGUUUUGAAAAUGAAUGGAUGUUGUAUUUUGUCAAAUGCUUUUUAUGCAUCUAAUUAAAUAAUCAUGUGAUUCUUGACUUUAAGUCUGUUGAUGUGGUGAAUUACGUUUAUUGAUUUCUGUGUGUUGAACCAAACUUGCAUCCCUGGGAUGAACCCCACUUGAUCAUGAUGCACUAUCUUUUUAAUAUGUUUUUGUACAGAAUGCCUCUUCUCUUUACUUUCUGUAUAAGUCAGGGCUGUCCUAGAGACAGAACUAAUAAGACGUGUGAGGAAUUGGUUCAUGUUAUUAUAGAAGUUGGCAAGUCCAAAAUCCACUGAGUGGGCCAGGAGGUUGGAGGCCCAGGAGAGAUGCUACUGCUGCCCCAGUCACAAGGCAGUCCCCUGCAGAACACUGAAGGAAUGAGGUUGAAAUGGGGUCUGAAGGCAAUCUGCCGGGGAAAAGACUUUUCUCUUGAAACAUUCAAGAAAAUUUUAAGAACAUUCAAGAAAUGUUCUUAAAUGUUAGUGCCCCCCCAAAAAAAAUUAAUAUGUGAGAGCUCUAACCCACCAGGUGAUAGUAUUUGAACAUGGGGCUUUGGAAGGCAAUUAGGGUUAGAUUAGGUCAUGAAGGUGAGAUGCCGUGAUGGGAUUAGUGGCCUUAAGAGGAAAAAAAGAAAGGGCUCUCUCCACGUGUACAUAAAGAAGAGUUAGUGACUACACAGUGAGAACCCUUGCAGGAACUUUGAUCUUGUACUUCGCAGUCUCCAGAAUUGUGAGAAAAUAUGUUUCCUUACCUUCAGCCACCACAUGGGGUAUAAUGAUACCUCGUCAUGGCCGUCUGAGUUGACGUAAGACACCAUUUUUUUGUUCUAUUCAGGCCUUCUACUGAUUGGAUAAGACCCACAUUAAGAAGGGCAAUCUACUUUACUUAAAUUCUGCUGACUCAAAUGUUAAUUCCAUCCCAAGCAUUCUCACAGAGAUUUUUUUUUUUAAAGUAACGUAUGACCAAAUACCUUGGCACCCCAUGGCAAUAAAUGGCAGCUCCAUUUCUCCAGUGACUGAAGACCAAAACCUUGGCCAUGUCUCUCACCCCUCAGCUAAACCACUGGCAAAUCCUGCCAGUCCCACCUUCCAGAUGUACUCAGACACCAACAUUUUCUCGGCUGUACCUACCUUUAUCACUAUGACACUAGCCCAGUGUCCCAGUAUCUCUUACCUGAAUGACCACAAUAGCCUCCUAUUGGUCACCCUGAUUCAGCCCAGAAAUGACUUUGGACGAGUUACUUAACCUCUCUAAGACUCAGUUUUCCCAAAUGAGGACAAUAAACACAUUGCAGAUUUAAGAAUUAAAUAAACACCAAUGGGAAGACUUAGCUGUGGGUUGGCAUAUCAUAAAUGCUGACCAAAUUUUGCUAUGAUUAGUUUUAGUCUUAUCAUUAAUAACUAACAGCCACCUGGGCUCAAAAUGAGCCUACAGAGAGUGAGCUUUAAACAUCAUUAUUUUAUUUAGCCUCAGUAAAUCUUAGCCUUAUGCUUUCAUUUGACACCACAUUUGUAACCACAGAAAUAUAUUCCUAUUUCAGUACUCUAAUAAAUAAUUGGCAGAGUCUUACCUAAUUCACAGAAUAGUUGUCUUGUUCAUGAUGGCUUCCAGCCCAGCUGUGACAAUGUCCUGUUGCUUGGGGUAUUUUUUCUAACUUUUUUUUUUCUGUUUUGA